rnacentral:rRNA from 1 species
UACGGGGGGGGGCAAGCGUUGUUCGGAAUUACUGGGCGUAAAGGGCGCGUAGGCGGUCUGCUAAGUUGGAUGUGAAAACUCUGGGCUUAACCCAGAGCCUGCAUUCAAUACUGACAGGCUAGAGUUCUGGAGGGGAUAGCGGAAUUCCUGGUGUAGCGGUGAGAUGCGUAGAUAUCAGGAGGAACACCGGUGGCGAAGGCGGGUCUCUAGGCCGACACUGACGCUGAGGAGCGAAAGCGUGGGGAGCGAACAGG